GAUGAAGAACGCAGCGAAAUGCGAUAAGUAAUGUGAAUUGCAGAAUUCAGUGAAUCAUCGAAUCUUUGAACGCACAUUGCGCCCAUUAGUAUUCUAGUGGGCAUGCCUGUUCGAGCGUCAUUAAUUCCACUUAAGCCCUGCUUAGUGUUGGGAAUCUACUCUAGUGGUGCUACCCUGGAGCUACCCCUGAAAGGGGGCUGGCCCGGUAGCUACCCUGUAGUUCCUCAAAGAUAGUGCGCGGAGUUGCGUGGUCCUCUGAGCUUAGUAACUAUACACCUAGCUUUUGAGUGUCGCGCGGCGCCUGCCGUUUAAACCCCAUCUUUUAAUGGUUGACCUCGGAUCAGGUAGGAAUACCCGCUGAACUUAAGCAUAUCAAUAAGCGGAGGA
rnacentral:misc_RNA from 1 species